UAAUCUUGGCUUCAUUUGAUAUCUUUUGAGAUAAUUUCUCAAGUAAAAACAAUAUCUCUGGCCUCUAGCUAGCUUAGGUUUUGAAUUAUAGAGCUAUUUUGGGCACUUUUUAAAUGACCUCUGUACUUGUAAGAGGUAUACUUAGUUUAUAAUGAGUAUUUUUUUUAGCUUUAGUUGUUGAACAAAUUUUGAACUUCUAUAUCCUAAACUAGGGAAUAUUUAUUUAAAACAGGCUCUAUAUCAAAGUUGAACUUUCAAAGGGUGUUACUAAAGAGCUAUUAUUUUUUUUUCUUUCAGGUUUUAACUCUAGAAAAAUUAAAUUCCAUAUGGACUGUCCUUGAGGCCUUCGGUAAUGCAAAGACAGUUUUGAAUAAUAGCGCCACCUGUUUUGCUCAUCUAUUUAGCCUUGAUUUCGAUCAAUCAGGUCAAAUAGCCUCAGCGUCUAUUCAGACAAUGCUUUUUGAUCGAUGGAGAGUGGCAAGACGUCCAGAAGGCGAAGUAACUUUUCAUAUCUUGUCAAGACUGGUUCUCGGAGCAGAGGGAAAUCUUAGACGUGAUCUCAUGCUAGGUGAUUUGAAUCCAACCGAUUCAAACCCUUAUGUUCAUUUCAAUGUUUCGAAUGAAGAUAAAGUGCAACAAGCGGGCUUGUUCAAAAUGGUGUAUGGAUCAUUAAUGCAGCUUGGCGUUUCGGAACUAGAAAAUAAAAUUAUAUUCUCCGUUUUAGCAGCCAUCUACACCUCGGUGCAGCAGGUGCUGCCAAAGGUAACUUUCCCUUUAUGUUUUCGUCCGUCAGCAUUAAAUAUUGCUUUUACUGCGCAAUGGAUCUC
rnacentral:lncRNA from 1 species